AUUGAACGCUGGCGGCAUGCCUUACACAUGCAAGUCGAACGGCAGCACGGGAGCAAUCCUGGUGGCGAGUGGCGAACGGGUGAGUAAUAUAUCGGAACGUGCCCAGUCGUGGGGAUAACGUAGCGAAAGCUACGCUAAUACCGCAUACGAUCUAUGGAUGAAAGCGGGGGAUCGCAAGACCUCGCGCGAUUGGAGCGGCCGAUAUCAGAUUAGGUAGUUGGUGAGGUAAAGGCUCACCCAAGCCGACGAUCUGUAGCUGGUCUGAGAGGACGACCAGCCACACUGGGACUGAGACACGGCCCAGACUCCUACGGAGGCAGCAGUGGGGAAUUUUGGACAAUGGGCGCAAGCCUGAUCCAGCAAUGCCGCGUGCAGGAUGAAGGCCUCGGUUGUAA
rnacentral:rRNA from 1 species